GGGUUGUGAGGUUAAGCGACUAAGCGUACACGGUGGAUGCCCUGGCAGUCAGAGGCGAUGAAGGGCGUGCUAAUCUGCGAUAAGCGCCGGUAAGGUGAUAUGAACCGUUAUAACCGGCGAUACCCGAAUGGGGAAACCCAGUGUGAUUCGUCACACUAUCAUUAACUGAAUCCAUAGGUUAAUGAGGCGAACCGGGGGAACUGAAACAUCUAAGUACCCCGAGGAAAAGAAAUCAACCGAGAUUCCCCCAGUAGCGGCGAGCGAACGGGGAGGAGCCCAGAGCCUGAAUCAGCAUGUGUGUUAGUGGAAGCGUCUGGAAAGGUGCGCGAUACAGGGUGACAGCCCCGUACACAAAAGCGCAUGUGCUGUGAGCUCGAUGAGUAGGGCGGGACACGUGGUAUCCUGUCUGAAUAUGGGGGGACCAUCCUCCAAGGCUAAAUACUCCUGACUGACCGAUAGUGAACCAGUACCGUGAGGGAAAGGCGAAAAGAACCCCGGCGAGGGGAGUGAAAAAGAACCUGAAACCGUGUACGUACAAGCAGUGGGAGCACCCUUCGGGGUGUGACUGCGUACCUUUUGUAUAAUGGGUCAGCGACUUAUAUUCUGUAGCAAGGUUAACCGUAUAGGGGAGCCGGAGGGAAACCGAGUCUUAACCGGGCGUUAAGUUGCAGGGUAUAGACCCGAAACCCGGUGAUCUAGCCAUGGGCAGGUUGAAGGUUGGGUAACACUAACUGGAGGACCGAACCGACUAAUGUUGAAAAAUUAGCGGAUGACCUGUGGCUGGGGGUGAAAGGCCAAUCAAACCGGGAGAUAGCUGGUUCUCCCCGAAAGCUAUUUAGGUAGCGCCUCGUGAAUUCAUCUCCGGGGGUAGAGCACUGUUUCGGCUAGGGGGCCAUCCCGGCUUACCAACCCGAUGCAAACUGCGAAUACCGGAGAAUGUUAUCACGGGAGACACACGGCGGGUGCUAACGUCCGUCGUGAAGAGGGAAACAACCCAGACCGCCAGCUAAGGUCCCAAAGUCAUGGUUAAGUGGGAAACGAUGUGGGAAGGCCCAGACAGCCAGGAUGUUGGCUUAGAAGCAGCCAUCAUUUAAAGAAAGCGUAAUAGCUCACUGGUCGAGUCGGCCUGCGCGGAAGAUGUAACGGGGCUAAACCAUGCACCGAAGCUGCGGCAGCGAACGUAUCACCCAAGACAACUUUACGGAGUUGACGAUUGACGGAGCGAAGCGACGUCAAAGCGUUCAUUAAAGUCGAGUUGGCUUAGGGAUACGUUCGUUGGGUAGGGGAGCGUUCUGUAAGCCUGUGAAGGUGUGUCGUGAGGCAUGCUGGAGGUAUCAGAAGUGCGAAUGCUGACAUAAGUAACGAUAAAGCGGGUGAAAAGCCCGCUCGCCGGAAGACCAAGGGUUCCUGUCCAACGUUAAUCGGGGCAGGGUGAGUCGACCCCUAAGGCGAGGCCGAAAGGCGUAGUCGAUGGGAAACGGGUUAAUAUUCCCGUACUUGGUGUUACUGCGAAGGGGGACGGAGAAGGCUAUGUUGGCCGGGCGACGGUUGUCCCGGUUUAAGCGUGUAGGUGUGUGUUCCAGGUAAAUCCGGUUCACUUUAACACUGAGGCGUGACGACGAGGCACUACGGUGCUGAAGCAACAAAUGCCCUGCUUCCAGGAAAAGCCUCUAAGCAUCAGGUAACACGAAAUCGUACCCCAAACCGACACAGGUGGUCAGGUAGAGAAUACCAAGGCGCUUGAGAGAACUCGGGUGAAGGAACUAGGCAAAAUGGUGCCGUAACUUCGGGAGAAGGCACGCUGACACGUAGGUGAAGUGAUUUACUCAUGGAGCUGAAGUCAGUCGAAGAUACCAGCUGGCUGCAACUGUUUAUUAAAAACACAGCACUGUGCAAACACGAAAGUGGACGUAUACGGUGUGACGCCUGCCCGGUGCCGGAAGGUUAAUUGAUGGGGUCAGCGCAAGCGAAGCUCCUGAUCGAAGCCCCGGUAAACGGCGGCCGUAACUAUAACGGUCCUAAGGUAGCGAAAUUCCUUGUCGGGUAAGUUCCGACCUGCACGAAUGGCGUAAUGAUGGCCAGGCUGUCUCCACCCGAGACUCAGUGAAAUUGAACUCGCUGUGAAGAUGCAGUGUACCCGCGGCAAGACGGAAAGACCCCGUGAACCUUUACUAUAGCUUGACACUGAACAUUGAGCCUUGAUGUGUAGGAUAGGUGGGAGGCUUUGAAGUGUGGACGCCAGUCUGCAUGGAGCCGACCUUGAAAUACCACCCUUUAAUGUUUGAUGUUCUAACGUGGACCCGUAAUCCGGGUUGCGGACAGUGUCUGGUGGGUAGUUUGACUGGGGCGGUCUCCUCCUAAAGAGUAACGGAGGAGCACGAAGGUUGGCUAAUCCUGGUCGGACAUCAGGAGGUUAGUGCAAUGGCAUAAGCCAGCUUGACUGCGAGCGUGACGGCGCGAGCAGGUGCGAAAGCAGGUCAUAGUGAUCCGGUGGUUCUGAAUGGAAGGGCCAUCGCUCAACGGAUAAAAGGUACUCCGGGGAUAACAGGCUGAUACCGCCCAAGAGUUCAUAUCGACGGCGGUGUUUGGCACCUCGAUGUCGGCUCAUCACAUCCUGGGGCUGAAGUAGGUCCCAAGGGUAUGGCUGUUCGCCAUUUAAAGUGGUACGCGAGCUGGGUUUAGAACGUCGUGAGACAGUUCGGUCCCUAUCUGCCGUGGGCGCUGGAGAACUGAGGGGGGCUGCUCCUAGUACGAGAGGACCGGAGUGGACGCAUCACUGGUGUUCGGGUUGUCAUGCCAAUGGCACUGCCCGGUAGCUAAAUGCGGAAGAGAUAAGUGCUGAAAGCAUCUAAGCACGAAACUUGCCCCGAGAUGAGUUCUCCCUGAGACUUAGAGUCUCCUGAAGGAACGUUGAAGACGACGACGUUGAUAGGCCGGGUGUGUAAGCGCAGCGAUGCGUUGAGCUAACCGGUACUAAUGAACCGUGAGGCUUAACCUUACAACGCCGAAG
rnacentral:rRNA from 2 species